AUGGACUGGUUAGAUCCCAGACCCUCCAUGCCGGGGGCGGUAAGAGAGGAUGCCUAGGACCCUGUAAGCGCCAGAGCUGGAGAUCUAGAACCUGGAAGAUGGGUCCGUAAUUCGAAAAUUAAAGAAGGGGUUCCGAAAUUGAGGUCCAGGAACCCGGAUAUCCGAAAGGGGUCGGUCAGGAGCACAGAUGCUAGCAUGCCCCGCGCUCAAAGGAUUUGGGGAACCCAGGAGCCUUGGCCUUCCGGAGCGGGGUCUGGGUUACAGAUCCCGAAACGCCCUGGGACUCGGGAAAGGACAGGCUGGAGGGAGGAGUCCCGAGACCGCAAAUCCCGACAUGCAGUGGGACUCGAAUGGAACAGCCCAGUGGGAGGAGCCCCGGGAGUACAGGUCCCGGCAUGCUCCGGGACUACGGUGCCUCGCGCGCCCCGGCCAGAGCUCACCUUGAAGGAGCCGUGGAACUCGUCGCUCAUCCUCCGGAGCUCGCGGCCAUAUCGCUGUGCAGCCCAGAGGUUGGGGGGCGCCGAGCGCGAGCGGCCCCGGAAGGGGCUGGGCUCCUCCUCCUCCGUCCCUUCUUCAUCCUCCGUCCCCGCGGAGUAGAAGCUGUGGCGACUCCGGGUCUCCACAGCCCCAGUGCCUGCAGAGAAGGAGACCUUGGGCCCCCAGAGAACAAGAGCCUGUCAGCAGCGUGUCUGUACCUCUCACAGCACCCACUUUGGAGAAAUUGUCCAGAAAGAUCUGUUGACUUUAGGUAAUACUUAGGGAGCACUUACUGUGUGCUAGUAGGCCCUGGGCAUUACUUCAUUAUUCUCCUAACCAUCCUGGGAGGUGAGUACUAACAUUGCUUCCACUUUGCAGAUGAGAAGACAGAGGCUUAAGAGAGGUUAAGACUUGCCCAGGGUCACACAGCUGUGAAGCUCUGAGGCUAGAAGUCCCUAGAGGUUUGUUGGAAUCCAGAGUCCAAUGAUUAUCCAUUGAGCUACACUUCUUCCCUUGUCCAACUGCCCUUCAACUCCCUGAGCCUGUGUCCUCACCUCUCUGUGGGGAUAAACCUAGUCCUUACUACCAGUGACUGCAUAAGGGUCACAUAAAGAGCGGGAAAGUGCUUUGUAAGCUGAAAGGGUGUGAUGGAUCAUUAUGCAAA